AACGAACGCUGGCGGCAUGCCUAACACAUGCAAGUCGAACGAGACCUUCGGGUCUAGUGGCGCACGGGUGCGUAACGCGUGGGAACCUGCCUUUAGGUUCGGAAUAACUCAGAGAAAUUUGAGCUAAUACCGGAUAAUGUCUUCGGACCAAAGAUUUAUCGCCUUUAGAUGGGCCCGCGUAAGAUUAGCUAGUUGGUGGGUAAAGGCCUACCAAGGCGACGAUCUUUAGCUGGUCUGAGAGGAUGAUCAGCCACACUGGGACUGAGACACGGCCCAGACUCCUACGGGAGGCAGCAGUGGGGAAUAUUGGACAAUGGCGAAAGCCUGAUCCAGCAAUGCCGCGUGAGUGAUGAAGGCCUUAGGGUUGUAAAAGCUCUUUUACCCGAGAUGAUAAUGACAGUAUCGGGAGAAUAAG
rnacentral:rRNA from 1 species